GGGAAUCUUCGGAUUCUAGUGGCGGACGGGUGAGUAACGCGUAAGAAUCUAACUUCAGGACGGGGACAACAGUUGGAAACGACUGCUAAUACCCGAUGUGCCGAAGGGUGAAACCUAAUUGGCCUGAAGAAGAGCUUGCGUCUGAUUGGCUAGUUGGUGGGGUAAAGGCCUACCAAGGCGACGAUCAGUAGCUGGUCUGAGAGGAUGAGCAGCCACACUGGGACUGAGACACGGCCCAGACUCCUACGGGAGGCAGCAGUGGGGAAUUUUCCGCAAUGGGCGAAAGCCUGACGGAGCAACGCCGCGUGAGGGAGGGAGGUCUUUGGAUUGUAAACCUCUUUUCUCAAGGAAGAAGUUCUGACGGUACUUGAGGAAUCAGCCUCGGCUAACUCCGUGCCAGCAGCCGCGGUAAUACGGGGGAGGCAAGCGUUAUCCGGAAUUAUUGGGCGUAAAGCGUCCGCAGGUGGUCAGCCAAGUCUGCCGUCAAAUCAGGUUGCUUAACGACCUAAAGGCGGUGGAAACUGGCAGACUAGAGAGCAGUAGGGGUAGCAGGAAUUCCCAGUGUAGCGGUGAAAUGCGUAGAGAUUGGGAAGAACAUCGGUGGCGAAAGCGUGCUACUGGGCUGUAUCUGACACUCAGGGACGAAAGCUAGGGGAGCGAAAGGGAUUAGAUACCCCUGUAGUCCUAGCCGUAAACGAUGGAUACUAGGCGUGGCUUGUAUCGACCCGAGCCGUGCCGAAGCUAACGCGUUAAGUAUCCCGCCUGGGGAGUACGCACGCAAGUGUGAAACUCAAAGGAAUUGACGGGGGCCCGCACAAGCGGUGGAGUAUGUGGUUUAAUUCGAUGCAACGCGAAGAACCUUACCAAGACUUGACAUGUCGCGAACCCUGGNGAAAGCUGGGGGUGCCUUCGGGANCGCGAACNC
rnacentral:rRNA from 1 species